GAUGAACGCUGGCGGCGUGCCUAAUACAUGCAAGUCGAGCGAACGGACGAGAAGCUUGCUUCUCUGAUGUUAGCGGCGGACGGGUGAGUAACACGUGGAUAACCUACCUAUAAGACUGGGAUAACUUCGGGAAACCGUAGCUAAUACCGGAUAAUAUUUUGAACCGCAUGGUUCAAAAGUGAAAGACGGUCUUGCUGUCACUUAUAGAUGGAUCCGCGCUGCAUUAGCUAGUUGGUAAGGUAACGGCUUACCAAGGCAACGAUGCAUAGCCGACCUGAGAGGGUGAUCGGCCACACUGGAACUGAGACACGGUCCAGACUCCUACGGGAGGCAGCAGUAGGGAAUCUUCCGCAAAGGGCGAAAGCCUGACGGAGCAACGCCGCGUGAGUGAUGAAGGUCUUCGGAUCGUAAAACUCUGUUAUUAGGGAAGAACAUAUGUGUAAGUAACUGUGCACAUCUUGACGGUUCCUAAUCAGAAAGCCACGGCUAACUACGUG
rnacentral:rRNA from 1 species